AUUACCCAUUGACCUUCCAUUUUUAUCUCUGUUCAAAAUUUUUUUCUCUUUUGAUGUUUUCUUAUCCCUUGUUUCAGUUAGGGUUGCAGUUGAAGCAAGCUUCAAAACGACCAAGAUUUUUGUUGCCCGUUGUUCUUUCAAUCGCCGUUUAGGGCUCUCUCAAGUCGCCGCCACAAGUUGUUGAAACCAUUCUCCCUGCCACUGUUUAGGGAUCUCUCAAGUCGAUGAUGUCGUUCUUACCAUUGCUCAAAGUUGUUACAGAACUUCUCUCCAAGCUUUAAAUCAACAACCCUGGUGUGAUCUUGAUGCUAGCAAUUGAGCAGAGGAGAGGAUUAUGGUGAUUGAACAUAGUAGAAGAUGGCGUUGAGUGAGACCAGACAUCUGAUCCGGGAAGCACCGUCAUAGCCUUUUUUUUGAGAUUUUUAUGAUGAAAUGUCAAUUUUUACCCUUCUAUUAAAUCCUAUCCAUCUUUCCUCAAACAUUGGCAACUCCUUCCUUGUUCCAUGUCUAUCAUCGUCAUUAACCCCCUUUAUAACAUUGGCAGCAAUGAGCACCGUCAAGUUGAUGGCAGAGAAAGCAAAGGGAUGAAACAACAACAAUGAAAAUCCCUUGAUCUAUACGGAUUUGAUGGCGGAUAAAGAAAAGGAUCAGAGGCCUUGCGAGAGCUGAACGCUGUGAACCACUAGAAGAAGGAUGGAAUGCUAGGUCGGUUACAUUAGAGGCAUCAUGCGCCCAAACCCCCUACAAGCAGUGGCGCCUGUGUCGCUGGUGGAACCGGCCUCGCCAAAACCAGUCGACAAGCAAUCAUCGGUGGCAUCACGCGCCCAAACCGCCUACAAGAAGUGCCGCAUGUGUCGCUAGUGGAACCAACCCAACCAAAACCAGUUGGCAGGCAAUCAUCAACAAAAGCAAAGACGUGGAUUGAGCUGAAGCAAAGAAAGUGUUGCUGCAACUUCCGGCUAAAACCGAUUUCAUGCCCCUGUUGUAUUACUGACCUGCAACUUCCUCUGCACAUUUGCAUUUGUAUUCCUUUCAAAUUAAGCAUGAGGAGAAAUUCAAGAAGAUUCAAGUCAGUAAUCCGUCCUUCUAAGAUAUAAUUGAUAGUUUGAAAGGAGGCAUUGAGUUUCUUGAGUUGUGUGCAUUUGAGAAGUUUGAAGCCUUGAAGGGAGCGAAUUUUUGUUCCUUUCAAGGGACAAAGUUGACAUGACACCAAGUCGACGAAGAGCAUGCGCAUGAGAAUGAGAAGAGCGGUUUUCAGUCACCAAACACAUGUUACAAGGCCUGUUGGGGUGCAAUUCAUCGAACGGAGACAUCCAAGUUAUGAGAAAUGAUCCGUAAGGAAGUGGAACUCGUAUGCUGAGUUCUUUGAAAAAAGCCGUCUGAAGGGUUUAAACAUCAGUUGAUGUGUUUGAUUGCGGGAGAGAGGCCACGACGCAGGUGAUUAACACACGCACAACCUUACUCUGUUUUUAGUUUUCUUUUUCAGUGUUGAACCAACGGUGAUGUCGUUGUUGCUAUCGGUGGAGUGGCUGUCAAAGAAGACAAUGUUGAAGAGGGAUGAGGGUAGUAUUGAGUUUUAAAAAAUUAUACGUUAAGUA